CUGCCUUAACAAUAUCAAGUUUGGUUAUUUUAACUCCGUUACUUACUAGAGCUGAAUUUCGGAUAUUGAGUUCAGUUCAUUUAUGCUGGUAUAAGCCAAUCUAUUAUAUCAAAUUUUUGAACUGUGAAUUAUUGAAAGAGAAAUUGUCAUAGAGUUUGUUGUUUCACUUCCCUACUUCUUUUAGGUUGGUCCCUUUCCUUUUCUGAACUAAUUUUCGAAUUAACUAACUUAGAUUAAAAUGCUGGUUGUGCUCGGGGAACUUGGUGGCCGCGAUGAGUAUUCCCUUGUGGUAGUCCUGAAACAAGGUAAAAUUAGCAAACAUGUGGUUGCUUGGCUCAGUGGAACGUACUAUGAAUUUGAACCAAUAACUCUUGUCGCCGAGGAGGGAAAGAUUUAUCCUGUAAAGGAAGUUAAGUUAAGCCUCCACAAAUCCCUGAGGAUCCUAAUACUGCUAUUAAGAGUGGAAAAGUCCAAGCGCCAACUCAUUAUUUCUACAGUUUCCGAUGUCAGAGGUUUGCUAGCAAUUGGUCCCCGAUUUGGUGAGGCUAUUGAUGAUGCUACCCGAUCCUUUAACAAAGCUUAUGACAAGGUUAGUUCUAAUGAGUGUUUUACCACGCACAAGAGAAUACACACGCCGUUUGAUUAGCUAAUGGUUUCUGAAUCUAUCGGCUUUAACAGAACCCUACGACAUAAAAAAUUGUCAAAUUUUGUGAUGCCUAUCAUUGCAUCAGAUAAAGACAUUUUUUUGGUUAGAAUAGCUGGAAGCCUGGAACUAAUAAAACCGGGGUAUUUUAACCAUAACAUUCCAGAAAGUGAUAUAGGAUGACUAAUUAUGUUUGUUUAGGUCAUCAAGAAAUCAGCAACCUCUGAGUUCUCCGCCACUUGGGUAAUCAAUCCCAUACAGUUGCUAAAAACUCGACCUUGAGAGUAUAUUCUUUGUGGAGUUGUACUCAUCUGAAACUCAAAACUUGGGGAGAGACUUAUUAACUAUGUUAUUUACAAGGUAAAGCUUGUUAAUUUGUUGCAAAGAUAUGAAUUGCAUUUUCAUAUUUAUACUUUCGGCUUCUCAUUUGUGUCACUGACAAUGCUGUCAUGAUGAUACUUUAUUGUUUGCCAUUUGAGGUUGUCUGUCCAUUUCAUCAUUAUUACCAAGUUGCGCUGUGGUAGUUGAGUUCCUUUCAUAAUGUGGUAUUUUUUCCCUAUGAUGCUUAAAUGGAUUUAAUAUUUUAGAAAUGAAGGAGUGGUGUUGUGUGUGUAUAUUCUGUCAUUUUUUUUAGGCGACAAGCAAUAAUUCAAAUAAGU